rnacentral:rRNA from 1 species
UAGGGAAUAUUGGGCAAUGGGCGGAAGCCUGACCCAGCCAUGCCGCGUGCAGGAUGAAGGCCUUCUGGGUUGUAAACUGCUUUUACAGGGGAAGAAAACGCCCAUGCGUGGGAAACUGACGGUACCCUGGGAAUAAGCACCGGCUAACUCCGUGCCAGCAGCCGCGGUAAUACGGAGGGUGCAAGCGUUGUCCGGAUUUAUUGGGUUUAAAGGGUGCGUAGGCGGCCCAUUAAGUCAGCGGUGAAAGCCCGGGGCUCAACCCCGGAACCGCCGUUGAUACUGGUGGGCUUGAGUAUGGACGAGGUUGGCGGAAUUGAGGGUGUAGCGGUGAAAUGCUUAGAUACCCUCAAGAACACCGAUUGCGUAGGCAGCUAACUAGGCCAUA